rnacentral:pre_miRNA from 1 species
AUGCUACUCUCUCCGUUCAAAAAUACUUGUCAUUAAAAUGAAUAAAAAUGAUGUAUCUAAAACUAAAAUACAUUUAGAUACAUCUUUUUUAUUUAUUUUGAUGACAAGUAUUUUCGGACGAAGGAAGUAUCAG